AUACGUAGGGGGCGAGCGUUGUCCGGAAUGACUGGGCGUAAAGGGCGUGUAGGCGGCUUUAUAAGUCUGGAGUGAAAGUCCUGCUUUCAAGGUGGGAACUGCUUUGGAGACUGUAGAGCUUGAGUGCGGAAGAGGUAAGUGGAAUUCCCAGUGUAGCGGUGAAAUGCGUAGAGAUUGGGAGGAACACCAGUGGCGAAGGCGACUUACUGGGCCGUAACUGACGCUGAGGCGCGAAAGCGUGGGGAGCGAACAGGAUUAGAUACCCUGGUAGUCCACGCCGUAAACGAUGAAUGCUAGGUGUAGCGGGUAUCGACCCCUGCUGUGCCGCAGUAAACACAAUAAGCAUUCCGCCUGGGGAGUACGGCCGCAAGGUUGAAACUCAAAUGAAUUGACGGGG
rnacentral:rRNA from 1 species